UACGGGGGGAGCAAGCGUUGUUCGGAUUUACUGGGCGUAAAGGGCGCGUAGGCGGUCAGCACAAGUCAGUUGUGAAAUCUCCGGGCUUAACUCGGAAAGGUCAACUGAUACUGUGCGACUAGAGUGCAGAAGGGGCAACUGGAAUUCUCGGUGUAGCGGUGAAAUGCGUAGAUAUCGGGAGGAACACCUGAGGCGAAGGCGGGCUACUGGGCCGAUACUGACGCUGAGGCGCGAAAGCCAGGGGAGCAAACGGG
rnacentral:rRNA from 1 species